rnacentral:lncRNA from 1 species
UACUUGCAUUAAGGAAGCAACGAGCCAUGCACCUAGCUAAGCAUACAGGACGUGUUCCACACUGAAGUGCGCAUAAUGCUGCGCAUACGGGAUCACGUUUUUGAGCCAUGGAAUGCUCUGUUGACAUGAGAAGCAUUGCAACCAACAACACCACCACAAAACUUUUCCCUGCCAUUGAUUUUUCUUAAGAGUAUAGUAAGUGAUUUAUCUUAGCUUGUUGAUGUACAAGUAAGGUUCUCAUAGUGAACUAUUUAUAGAGGAAACCAAUGUUUUUCUUUUGUGUGGUGGAGAUUUUUUGCAAAUACUACGGAUUUUCUCAUCGGUGUUUGCAGUUUUUCAACUUCCAUAUUUGAAUGCUAGUAACAUGCUUGUAUUUUGAUGAAAAUAAUAGUUCCUACUGAUAUAAAUCGCUACAAAAAAUAUAUUAAAUUGUGA